rnacentral:rRNA from 1 species
GUGGGGAAUAUUGGACAAUGGGCGCAAGCCUGAUCCAGCCAUGCCGCGUGUGUGAAGAAGGCCUUUUGGUUGUAAAGCACUUUAAGCGAGGAGGAGGCUCCUUUAGUUAAUACCUAAAGAGAGUGGACGUUACUCGCAGAAUAAGCACCGGCUAACUCUGUGCCAGCAGCCGCGGUAAUACAGAGGGUGCGAGCGUUAAUCGGAUUUACUGGGCGUAAAGCGUGCGUAGGCGGCUUUUUAAGUCGGAUGUGAAAUCCCUGAGCUUAACUUAGGAAGUGCAUUCGAUACUGGAAAGCUAGAGUAUGGGAGAGGAUGGUAGAAGUCCAGGUGUAGCGGUGAAAUGCGUAGAGAUCUGGAGGAAUACCGAUGGCGAAGGCAGCCAUCUGGCCUAAUACUGACGCUGAGGUACGAAAGCAUGGGGAGCAAACAGGAUUAGAUACCCGAGUAGUCC